GCCAAUCCGUCAAUCCCUCUUCUGUCUACAGAGACCACACUCUCCUCUGUGUGCGUCUCUUGUUGUCGUUGUCUUUCGUAAAAUCUGCACUCCUCUUUCCUAUCUCAAUUUGAUUUAGCACUGCCUCCUUAAUUUCCGAAAUUGCUGCAAUUCGACCGCUGUUAUGGAAGGUUUCCAAUAGGAAAAAGGACUCACAGAAAUAAUCAAUCAAUAUGAAGUCUGAAGAUUAUUAUUCGGCCCCCAAUGUAACUACUUAUAACAACGUGAUGGAUUAUUAUUCAACCAACCCUGGACCAAUUGAUGAUUCCAUUCUAAAAGAUCAAGAUAAGCAUGUUUCAGCUGCAGUUUGGGAGGGACAGGAGAGAGGUGCACUUCGAUGCCAUGAGCAUACUUCAAAGCUUGAUCGUUGGCUACUUACUGAGAGUCAAAUUGAAUUAGUUAAGAGGGCUGGAUUUGGCUAUUUGAGAUUAAUCCCCGCAAUUAGUCUUGAUAAUCCACUCAUAUCUGCUCUAGUGGAGAGAUGGAGGAAAGAAACUAAUACAUUUCAUAUGACUGUCGGAGAAAUGACCAUAACACUCGAAGAUGUUGCUUACUUGCUUGGACUUCGAAUCAAUGGUGAACCUGUAAUAGGUGUAACGUACACCACCUGUGAUUCAGUAUGUAUCAAAUAUCUGGGUAAAGCACCAGAUUCAGGGUACACGAGUGGUGGGAUGGUGAAGCUGAGCUGGCUGAAAGAAGCUUUCUCCGUAUGUCCCGAGGAUGCUUCCAUUGAAGACGUCGAGCGCCACACUCGUGCCUACCUUCUAUACCUUGUUGGUAGCACGAUUUUUUCAACCACGACCGGUAAUAAAGUGCCAGUUAUGUAUCUCCCGUUAUUUGAGAAUUUUGAUGAAGCUGGGAAGUAUGCAUGGGGUGCAGCAGCAUUGUCCUUCUUAUACAGGGCACUCGGUAAUGCCUCCCUUAGAUCGCAAAGCACUAUUAGUGGCUGUUUGACGCUGCUACAGUGCUGGAGUUACUAUCGCCUGAAUGUUGGUCGGCCUAAACUUCAUCACAAUCCUAUCCAUGAAUGUUUUCCUUUUGUACUUAGGUGGAAAGGGAAACAAAACGGUCCAACCUCAAAUCGUGACGUGGUCUUCUACCGUAAAGCUUUGGAUUCUCUAAAAGCUACCGAUGUUGAUUGGUGUCCGUAUGCAAAUAUCAGCCAUACUAUUAUACCCGAGAGCAUCUUAAACCAACUCAUUCUCGGAAGAUCCAAGACAAUGUUGAUCUGCUUCGACAAGGCCGAAAGACACCUUCCAGAUCGUUGCCUGAGGCAGUUUGGCAUACAUCAAAUGGUCCCGGAAGAAGUGCAGCAUUGGGAAAGGAAGACCCGUGGUGUUGAUGGCGGGGUAGAUCUAUCUGGGAAAAUGGAGGCAGAGAUAAAUGAGUGGGAAAAUCGUCGUUUCCAUAUUGUGGAGGCUGAGGAAGGCAUCGAUGAGGGCCAAUACGUGAACUGGUACUCAAGAAUCACGCGGAGGCUGGUAGGAAGGCCUAUACCUAUCUCAUCAGAGUUUCAGAGAAUGAAUGCUGCACUGAGGGACAUUGCACAUGUAGCAGAUACCCUCUCGACGCACGGAAUGGACGACCUACAAAUACAGGCUGUUACGAGAAUCAGGUACAUCGCACACGAAUGCCUGAGGGAUCAUGCUGGAACGUCAACCGUGUCCUUGGACAACUCAGAGAGUGAGGCUGUCAAGAAGAUCAGAGGAAAGGAAAGGGUAAGAAGAAGGGGUACAAGUAAACGCAGACGAAAAGAUGAUCCUGAGGAAUUCUAUGCGUCAGGCAUGCAUAUCCAAGUAUAUAACGUUCCCAAUGAGGUUGAUCACGAACAACAUCUGUGCCUCACACGGAAUCCUGGUCAUGGGGUGAUGGAAAACAAUGGCACUACUGAAGCUGACCAGCACGAAGUCGAAGAAGUUGAUGAAGACCACCUUUCUCAUGGAUCGGAGGAAAAUCCAUGCGAGUCCCUUACUAAUGUUGGUGUUGUAGAGCAGGCCUCGCUGGGAACUAGUGAGGACGUGACCCACCAGAACGAUUUCAGUGUCACAGCGUAGUUGGUUGAACGAAGUUAAAUCCAUGUCUUUUGAGGAAAUUUCAAACGGUGGCAUGUGGGCCGACAAUCGGUGUGGAGUUUAGCUUCCGACUUGGUCGGAGAUGACAAGCUCACACGGGGAGAGAUCAACCUCACACAACCAACCUUCAUUAUGCUGCUUGCAAGGCCAACCUUGUUGGUACGAAGACGAGAAGGCAAAAGUGUGGUAGUCUACGCACUGACUUUGCGUAGCAUGCCGCUUCAGGUAGCCGUGCACAAUCCGAACCGGCCCGGCGGUUCGAACCGUCCGGCGGGUUGCCGGUUCCAACGGGCCGGUUCAGGGUCGAAGGAUUUGUGAACCGUGAAUUGGCGGUUUGCCGGUUUGAACCGGCAGUUCAACGGUUCAAACGGCAAUUUCCGGCAUAGGGUUGUAGGGUUUCAGGCUACG